GAGCUAAUACAUGCUAAGGCCGCAAGGUUGUAUUUAUUAGAUAUUCCGAUAAGGUGAAUCAUAAUAACUUCGCAAAUCUCAUAUUUGUUGAGAUAAAUCAUCCAAGUUUCUGCCCUAUCAUGCUUUCGUUGGUAGUGUAUUGGACUACCAUGGCUCUCACGGGUAACAGGGAAUUAGGGUUCGAUUCUGGAGAAGGAGCCUGAGAAACGGCUACUACAUCUACGGAAGGCAGCAGGCGCGUAAAUUACCCAAUCCUGACUCAGGGAGGUGGUGACAAGAUAUAGCAACGAGACUAUAAAUCUCGAUUGUAGUGAGGGUAUUCUAAAUAGAACCUAUAGAACGAUUAGAGGGCAAGUCUGGUGCCAGCAGCCGCGGCAAUUCCAGCUCUAAUAGCGUAUAUUAAAGUUGCUGCAGUUAAAAAGCUCGUAGUUGGAUUUCAAGGACUGUAUU
rnacentral:rRNA from 1 species